rnacentral:rRNA from 1 species
UACAGAGGUCCCAAGCGUUGUUCGGAUUCACUGGGCGUAAAGGGUGCGUAGGCGGGUUUUUAAGUCAGAGGUGAAAUCCUGGAGCUCAACUCCAGAACUGCCUUUGAUACUGGGAAUCUUGAGUAUGGAAGAGGUGAGUGGAACUGCGAGUGUAGAGGUGAAAUUCGUAGAUAUUCGCAAGAACACCAGUGGCGAAGGCGGCUCACUGGUCCAUAACUGACGCUGAGGCACGAAAGCGUGGGGAGCAAACAGG